rnacentral:tRNA from 6 species
GCGCCCGUAGCUUAAUUGGAUAGAGCAUCAGUCUACGGAACUGAGGGUUGGCCGUUCGAUCCGGCCCGGGCGCG